GGGAGGUGAUGAGUGGUCACACUUGCAAUUUGAAAAAAUGCGAGAUGGGUGCUCAGCCCAAAGCCUGGUUACGACAAUUUGGGUACUCCCAUUUUUAUCCAAUCUGAUCCC